rnacentral:rRNA from 1 species
GACGAACCGUCCGAACGUUAUUCGGAAUCACUGGGCUUAAAGGGUGCGUAGGCGGCGCGGAAAGUUGGGUGUGAAAUCCCUCGGCUCAACCGAGGAACUGCGCCCAAAACUACCGUGCUCGAGGGAGAUAGAGGUGAGCGGAACUUAGGGUGGAGCGGUGAAAUGCGCAGAUAUCGGGAAGAACACCCGUGGCGAAGGCGGCUCUCUGGGACGGUACUGACGCUGAGACGCGAAAGCGUGGGGAGCGAACAGG